CGGGGUGAGUAACGCGUGGGUAACCUGCCUCAUACAGGGGAUAACAGUUGGAAACGGCUGCUAAUACCGCAUAAGCGCACGGCAUCGCAUGAUGCAGUGUGAAAAACUCCGGUGGUAUAAGAUGGACCCGCGUUGGAUUAGCUAGUUGGUGAGGUAACGGCCCACCAAGGCGACGAUCCAUAGCCGACCUGAGAGGGUGACCGGCCACAUUGGGACUGAGACACGGCCCAA
rnacentral:rRNA from 1 species